GGAUCGGUUUCGGCGGAGCUCUACACAGAUGGUGAAUGACCCCUACACUCUGGUGGUAGCUCUUAAUAGUUCACAAGCAGCCGAAGGCGAGCUUUAUAUUGAUGACGGUAAAAGCUUCGAAUUUAAGCAAGGGGCAUUCAUUCAUCGCCGAUUUGUGUUCUCAGGGGGCAAACUUACAUCAUUGAACGUGGGACCUCUAGCUUCUAG
rnacentral:misc_RNA from 1 species